rnacentral:lncRNA from 10 species
GGAGGUGCUGAAGGCUGCUGAUAAAAGUAUUGGGGCCGGAAGGGCACCCAGAGGGAUGGAUGAAGCACCGAGAGAUUGGAGGGUACUGGGUAGCAGCUAAGGCAAUGAUUCAGGUGUGAGCUGACACAGCCCAGCCAUGGUGAGGCCUUGAGGAUAAGUGUGUGGCCACAGGCCAAAAAGAUUCAGAUUCUCUGUGGGGAACAGCAAGGCACUAUCCACACCUAAAAAUAAAACUGGCCUGUCUCAACCCUGGAUUGGAUACCUCAAAUUGCUGAAGGGCAGCAGGACCAAAUUCUAAUUUUAAGAAAGUCUGCUCUUUGAAUGCAGACUCAGAAACAGCUUUGCUGGGGAAAAAUGUCAAAUGGUUUGCCAGGAUAUUGACAGUGUUCCCAAAGACAGGAAUAGAAGUACUGAAAAAGGGAAUGUCAAGACAGGAGUUCCUGGGGUCUCUAACUCCGGAAUCUUCCAGCAGGAGAAGGAAAGGCAAGGAACCAAAACCCAGCAAGUUAAAAAAUAAUAAUAAUAACAAUAGUAAUAAUAAGACCAAGCU